ensembl:lncRNA
AUUUAUGUAUCUAUUGUGUAUGUUUUGGGGUGGGCAUGUGUGGAGACCAGAGGACAAACUGGAGGAGUCUGGUCUCUCCUUCCGCUAUGCGCAUCCCAGGGGUUUCAGGCUUGCCAGCAAGCACCUUAUCCAUCAAGCCAGCUCUUCAGCCCAUGAAAAGAGCUUUUUAAACAAGGUGCAGACAACCACAGACAUACAUAAGAUCAAAGAGAUUAAUCCCUAACAGCCUGUAAGCUGAGUAUUGAUGACCACACAGAUGAGAUACAUAAUGAACUUUCCAGAGACAAAACAGUAGAGCAUGAACCAGAACAUACACCCCAGAAAAAAAUGCAUUUCCAAAUGGCCUACACUUUUCUGGUGAGCCAAGGAAGACAAAGUAAAGAAAAGGAAUCAUUAUCUGUUCUCACUGUGCUUGGUGCCGUAGUUAGUAAUCUCGUCACGGGAGGCUGAGUAAGAGGAUCAUGGCCAAGAGUUCUGGGCCAGCCAGAGGGCUGGAGGCAAGGAAGAAGGUAAGAGAAAAAGUGAAAGGCUGCUGAGAACACGGAGGCAUCAAAAGUGACUUUAUCCCGAGACUCCCAACUGUGGGCGAAAGCUGAGAGAAAUGUUUAUUUUCUUGGCAUUAUUUGCAAAUGUCCAUCAAUAAACCAACAAGAAAAUGGAGGUGUUUGAACAAGCUGCGGAGGGACGGAGUAUUAAAUAUUGAUGAAAGCCGAAAAACUGCCUAGGCAAAGUCUGUACGCUCCAGGACUCCACUUCCACAGCCCCGAGAGUAGGUGCACCCAACCACACUAAGAGGAAACUACUGAGGAGGCAGUGGCCGGGAGGACACAGGAGCAGCUUCAGGAAUGCUGCUGCCUCUCCUGGAGUGAUCCUGGCCGAGGAUGUAAAUCCUCCUCCUCUUUAGUUAACUCAAAUGGCAUACAGUCAUUUUCAUUUCUGUGUCAGUCCUGGCACUUCAUUAGUUUGCUUACUUGGUCUUUCCACUGAACUGCAUGUCCAGCUAUCUCCUCACCUCAACAGGGUUAAGGCAAGCAAGGCAAACAGACAAAAACCAUGAGAAGCAGCAGCCAGAUGAAAAAUGGUGGCUCAGUUGUCUAAUGCUGUGUGUACACUCAAGAGCACAGCAUGUGGGGAAGCAGAGCGCACGCCAGCUGCUUCAGUCACACCCUACCCUAGUUUUCCAGCUCUUUCUGAACCAGAAGCUCAACAAUUCAGUUACAAUGGUUGGCCAGUGAGCUCGAGGGGUCCUCCUGUCUCUUCUCUGCCCUUAGUACACAGGUCACAGCUUGGUGGUGUAACUAAGGCCUGAUGACCAGCACUUUACCAACUGAGUUAUCUCCCUAGCCCCGAUCUAUGGACUUCAGAGCAAGUUUUGGCUAGUGGUAGUGUCCAACCAGUGAGCAACAAUGCCAAGGCUGUAAUAAUUUUCCAAGAGUGAGCAGCAGCUCCAGAUCCUGUGGUCGCUUGACUAGCAACACAGUAGUACAGACGAUGUUUUCAUGUCCAGUCUUGGGGCCUCCUGGUCACCACUCAGGCACUCAGAAUGCCAGCACUGUAACUUAAGCAGGGUAACAAUGUCAGUGUGGAAGCUGAAGUGGCCUAGUUGAUAUUAUACCGGGUGCCAUUUGCCACGGAAUUUCUCUGGAAAGCUUCAAGGUCAUGAUGCUGAAAAUUCCACUGUGAAAUUUAGGGUUAGUGAUCAUACAUAAAAUGAAUUUAGAUUCGAAACAAGCUUCUAAGCUCAGCAGCUGACACUCCGGGUGUGGUAAAACCACCACCUUGUCACUUCCCCACACCAGCACUGUGAGCUUCACAAACACCAGGCCUCAAACCAAACUUGUUCCCCAACCUGAAAAAGGUGCAGGCAUGGCAGGAAAAUGGCACUCAACACUGAGCUCUGCCAUCUCGGAGCCCCAUGGAAUGGGUACCAUGACAGCCUGGCCUGCCUUUCUUUCCAUUGCCGGACCCCCAAAAAGUCAAAACGAGGUACGGUUUAUUCUGAGUAAAAAGGUAAUAUUUAAAAACAUGUUUUGAACAAACUUAUUUUUCCACAUAUUUGGCUAAAACCUUUAUAAGGUGAGUAGAGAGGGAAGAAUGGGGUCAGAACUCUGCACUUCUUUCAAAAACAAGGUCUGCAAAAGACAAGGCUUAACACAAAAUUUGAAUUAACUUUAUUUCCCUUAUGGUCAAUAACGUCUCUGCAUUGAAUUGUAAAGCAAAGUAAGAUAAAAUCCCCCAAAUGACAAGGUAUCAGAAAUCCAGAUUUAGUUACAAUUUAUUUGUGAAAAUGUUCAGCUUUUUUUUUUUUUUUCUUAAUAUUGGUCUGUAAAAGAACCAUCAUCUGGAUCAAGAAUGAAUUCUAUAAAUCAAAGAAUAUUCUACACCUUGGAAAAGGAAGUCAGCAGUAACAUUCUCACGGAGCGUUGUAAAUUACGGUUUCUUCAUAAAAGGUACAUACUGUUCUGUACUUUCCCACCAAAGCAGUGGUGUGGUGUGUAAAAAGUUCUCCUGUGGCAGGAAACCUCUCUCUCACUUUACUAAACAACUGGAUAAAGUUUUCAAGUCUGUAUAAAGUUGCCUAUAAGCUGGAAAAUGAACAGGUUCAAUCUCCAUUUAUAUUUUAGUGCAUCUUUUGACAAUUGUCACAUUUGUAAUAAAAGUAAGAAAAUGCCUAUAUAGCACUAAAGAGUGUUUCAUCAAAUGCUUAAGGUAUCAAAACAUGAAGCAGUGAACAGAAAUCAUCGUGAUGAACAAAACUGGUAUAAAAUGAGGAAAAUCCAGGCAAAGUUUACAAAUCCUUUGUCACUGUGUAGUCACAGAAAUGAACUCUGGAUGCCUGUCCACUGUAAGGGCUUUCCCCCUUAAUCAUCUGCGUGGAAACACGGAGCCAACCUAAGUACUAAGGUAAUAGCCAUCCUGGCCAGCAACAUCCUGUGUGUGCUCGCCAUGAUUCCCAAAGGAUAUAAAUUUAGCCCUUGAAUGAAGAAUGCAUGAAAUCUGCUCUGUAAGUACCUGGUGAAGACACCUGCUAACCGCAGUGCUGAUGCCUGAACACAAACAUCUAUCUAUCAGCUAACUACGCAAGGCCCACCGUCAGCAGCAGCUGCUUAUAGCGGCAGUGAGCGACAAAGUGGACAUUUGAUGAAACAUUCUUCACACCGGAGAAACAGAAAAAUAAAUAGAGUUCACAGACGUAGACUCUCUUCUAACACGUCUCUCUCAGACCUGGGCUAGUUGGUUUACUGGUCAAGAAGCUCUUGUCACAUCUGCAUUUGAGUCUUACAUAUUGCUAUUUGGGUAAUUCAAAUAAAAUGCAGGUCUGGUAAAAGAAAAAAAUUGACAGGUAUGCAUGUGCCAGGGACCAAAUUAGAGGGUUCUUUGGUGCAAUUAGUCCAAAUUCUCAGAUUUGAAGGGUAAUAUGUACCAAUAAUUAAAAAAAAAAAAAAAAACCAAAAAAAAAAAACCUUCUGCCAGAUGCUCACAGCAGGGCUCUGUCUUGCUUCACAUUACAAAUCGCAAACAGCUGUUCUCAAUAAACCAAUUUAAUUUUAAAUGAGGCAUUGCCAGAAAAUUUUGUACAUUGACUUGGCCCAGCGAUGUUCUGUACCCUUGGUGCUGUGAAGCAGGACACGAGCGGAAGGCAAAGACGGGUUCUCACAAGGACUGCUGCAAGUCAGGCCAGACAGUGUAUUUAAACAGUCUUCUUAGACAUUUUCUUGCCUUUCUUAAAAACUAGCUUAUUUUUAACGUAGCCACGCUUCCUUUUAGUAGUCUAGAAAGAGAGAAGAAUGCAUGGUAUUAGUUCAGGUCUCUUACACACUGAAGUACCUAGACACACAGCCAGCUUACUCUGUUAU